GAUCGGCUUUCACUGCUCCCAGAACGAUCCUGGGAAGGCCGCUUGCGAUCAUCAGCUAUUGCUGUGUAACAAGCUACAGGAAGCCAGACCGGAGCGGUUCCGUUAGCACAAGGUUCUGCAGACAUGCCAACAGCAGCCUUUCCCUGAGUCCCUGAGGAUGUGCACACCCGUGGCUGAGGGGCCGCCAGAGAAGGUGCCUUUGGGAAGAGAGAGCUGUCAGCAACAGCAACAACACACAGCACAGACCCUACGGAGACAUCCAUCCUGUCUUCAAGAGCUCGACAUUUUUAAGUUGUCCUCCAAGGUCCUGUCAUGGUUGGAGAGAUGCACUAUAUCAACUCCACGGCUGACCCAGACAACCGGAACCCCGAGGCCCCGGGGGUGGCUGGAAGCCAGACAUCUCCAAUCCUUGAUGAGGGGACGUGAGACCCCAUCACCCCAGAACUGCACACAGGGUCUUCUGCACGGUGCACACUUGUCCUUGCAUUUGGGGAUGAUGGUCCGCUUGCUCUGGGUCCUCGUGGUGCUGCCAAUCUGUAAUCAGGCACCGUGUUUUGUUCCUGGGAGGUCUGGAAGCUUUCAGCAGUGUGCACUGGGGAGAUGUUUUAGGAUCUGUGUCUCUGAAGGUUUUGCUUCCUUUACAUACAAUGAGUCUUUGCCCAUUCCUCAUUUCUUGGGGGACGUGCUGGUCCUUUCCUGGCACUGGGCAUUGAGAGGAGAACAAGGAGCUGGGAGAGAAGGCCAGGGGAAGUCUUUGGGUCAGUUUUGAAGUUGUACUCUUCCGGGCACUGCCCUGAGAUUGCAUCAUCCACCCCAGCUCUGACGAAGUCCCACCUGGCACCACUUCAGGUUAAAUAAACUUGGCAAGGACUUCCCACUUCCAGAGAAGUUUUGUUUCACUAAUAUUCCUGCUGCUGCUGAACUUCGGACAAAAUGGAAACAAUAAUUAUUUGAAGGCAUUGGGAAGUGACAUAAAGCAGAUGAAAAAACCUUCAAGGGGUAUGAACUUUGAAAGGAGUUAGAAAGAAAGCUUUUCUCCUGAGGGCCCUUUCUGGACCCCACAAUGGGUUGGGCUCCAGCAGAAGGUGGUGGUAUCGGGCGGAGAGGUCAGAGGCUAGAAUUUGGCAUUGCCAGAAUGUCUGGAAAUUUAGGAAGAAAUCUCAGAAAGGCCAUGUAGGGGAAGACCCCUUAACCUGGCACAAUCUCUGCUCCAGUCUUCUGCUGAUCCCCGAAGUGUGCACGUGCAGGGCAAGACUCCUUAAGGCCCAGGAAGAGGCAGCAGCUGGAUGGGGGAGGAGCUAGCAGAGAGUCUGGCAUCUGGCUGGUGCUGGGAAGACCAGGUUUGGAGGUCACGUCCUCCCAGGUGAGAGGAACUUCUGUGUGCUGAAAUAAAAGGACUUAAUUAUGAGUCAGAAGACAGAAAAAUACUCUAUUUGAACUGGUUGAGAAAACUGUUAACCUGGAGCUUUAUACCCAGCUAAACUGUCUUUCAAGAAUGGUGGCAAAAUAAAGACAUUUUGGAUACACACAAACCAAGAGAUUACUAACAACAGACUCUCACGGAAGGAAGGAUUCUACUUGAUGGUUUUAAAAAAGAUCUAAGAUAUUGGGCAGAGGGGUUGAA